rnacentral:rRNA from 1 species
UACGUAGGGUGCAAGCGUUAAUCGGAAUUACUGGGCGUAAAGCGUGCGCAGGCGGUUGUGCAAGACAGAUGUGGAAAUCCCCGGGCUUAACCUGGGAACUGCAUUUGUGACUGCACGGCUAGAGUGCGGCAGAGGGGGAUGGAAUUCCGCGUGUAGCAGUGAAAUGCGUAGAUAUGCGGAGGAACACCGAUGGCGAAGGCAAUCCCCUGGACCUGUACUGACGCUCAUGCACGAAGCCAGGGAGACGAACGGG